UGCCAGACUCCUACGGGAGGCAGCAGUGGGGAAUAUUGCACAAUGGGGGGAACCCUGAUGCAGCGACGCCGCGUGAAGGAAGAAGUAUCUCGGUAUGUAAACUUCUAUCAGCAGGGAAGAAAAUGACGGUACCUGACUAAGAAGCCCCGGCUAACUACGUGCCAGCAGCCGCGGUAAUACGUAGGGGGCAAGCGUUAUCCGGAUUCACUGGGUGUAAAGGGAGCGUAGACGGCGACGCAAGUCUGGAGUGAAAGCCCGGGGCCCAACCCCGGGACUGCUCUGGAAACUGCGUCGCUGGAGUGCCGGAGGGGUAGGCGGAAUUCCUAGUGUAGCGGUGAAAUGCGUAGAUAUUAGGAGGAACACCAGUGGCGAAGGCGGCCUACUGGACGGUGACUGACGCUGAGGCUCGAAAGCGUGGGGAGCAAACAGGAUUAGAUACCCUGGUAA
rnacentral:rRNA from 1 species